CAGCAGCCGCGGUAAUACGUAGGGUGCAAGCGUUAAUCGGAAUUACUGGGCGUAAAGCGUGCGCAGGCGGUUUGUUAAGUCAGAUGUGAAAUCCCCGAGCUUAACUUGGGAACUGCAUUUGAAACUGGCAAGCUAGAGUCUUGUAGAGGGGGGUAGAAUUCCAGGUGUAGCGGUGAAAUGCGUAGAGAUCUGGAGGAAUACCGGUGGCGAAGGCGGCCCCCUGGACAAAGACUGACGCUCAGGUGCGAAAGCGUGGGGAGCAAACAGGAUUAGAUACCCCGGUAGUCCCUGUCUCUUAUAC
rnacentral:rRNA from 1 species